rnacentral:tRNA from 1 species
AGCACGGUGGCUCAGUGGUUAGCACUGUUGCCUCACACAAAGAAGGUCCUGGGUUUGAAUCCCAGCUGUCCCA